rnacentral:rRNA from 1 species
GAGAGUCAAAAAGACCGCAAAUCCGUUAGGAGGGAAACGAAUGCAGCUGAAGCGGCGCCUCGUCGGGCUCACGGUGCCGGCGCGGGGUCUCGGUGGGUCGCGGAAGCCUUCUGGCUCCGCUUGCUUCGUCGGGGGCUCCGCGUCGGCCCUGCACUUCCGCGAGGAGCCGGCCAACGGCGGUUGCCUUCGGCUCGGCGGGCGUCUGGAGAGGUGGCUCUGCGCUUGCGUGGGGACCGUACAGCCCGGGCGCGCGGCAGUUCGGAGGCGACCGAGGAGAGCGUUGCGGUCRUUCGCACGCUGCGGCGCGGGCCGACUUCGGUCGGCUGCGGCACCCCGUCGGUGGGUCUCCCGCUUCGGUGCACUGCGUGCAGUGCCUGGGGACGGAUGAGGUCCCUCCGGUCUGGGGAGGUCCGACAACUCGCGCCUAGAGUCGUUGGCGUCCGAAUGGCUGCAUCCAACCCGUCU